rnacentral:rRNA from 1 species
AAUGAACGCUGGCGGCAGGCCUAACACAUGCAAGUCGAACGGAUCCUUCGGGAUUAGUGGCGGACGGGUGAGUAACGCGUGGGAACAUACCCAAAGGUACGGAAUAGCCUCGGGAAACUGGGAGUAAUACCGUAUGUACUCGAAAGAGGAAAGAUUUAUCGCCUUUGGAUUGGCCCGCGUUGGAUUAGGUAGUUGGUGGGGUAAUGGCCUACCAAGCCGACGAUCCAUAGCUGGUUUGAGAGGAUGAUCAGCCACACUGGGACUGAGACACGGCCCAGACUCCUACGGGAGGCAGCAGUGGGGAAUCUUAGACAAUGGGGGAAACCCUGAUCUAGCCAUGCCGCGUGAUCGAUAAAGGCCUUAGGGUUGUAAAGAUCUUUCAGGUGGGAAGAUAAUGACUGUACCACCAGAAGAAGCCCGGCUAACUCCGUGCCAGCAGCCGCAGUAA